AGAGUUUGAUCAUGGCUCAGAUUGAACGCUGGCGGCAUGCCUUACACAUGCAAGUCGAACGGUAGAGUAGCAAUACUUGAGAGUGGCGAACGGGUGAGUAAUAUAUCGGAACGUGCCCAAUCGUGGGGGAUAACGUAGCGAAAGUUACGCUAAUACCGCAUACGAUCUACGGAUGAAAGCGGGGGAUCGCAAGACCUCGCGCGAAUGGAGCGGCCGAUAUCAGAUUAGCUAGUUGGCGGGGUAAAAGCCCACCAAGGCAACGAUCUGUAGCUGGUCUGAGAGGACGGCCAGCCACACUGGGGCUGAGACACGGCCCAGACUCCUACGGGAGGCAGCAGUGGGGAAUUUCGGACAAUGGGCGCAAGCCUGAUCCAGCAAUGCCGCGUGCAGGACGAAGGCCUUCGGGUUGUAAACUGCUUUUGUACGGAACGAAACGGUCCUUUCUAAUACAGGGGGCUAAUGACGGUACCGUAAGAAUAAGCACCGGCUAACUACGUGCCAGCAGCCGCGGUAAUACGUAGGGUGCGAGCGUUAAUCGGAAUUACUGGGCGUAAAGCGUGCGCAGGCGGCUAUAUAAGACAGUUGUGAAAUCCCCGGGCUUAACCUGGGAACUGCAUCUGUGACUGUAUAGCUAGAGUACGGCAGAGGGGGAUGGAAUUCCGCGUGUAGCAGUGAAAUGCGUAGAUAUGCGGAGGAACACCGAUGGCGAAGGCAAUCCCCUGGGCCUGUACUGACGCUCAUGCACGAAAGCGUGGGGAGCAAACAGGAUUAGAUACCCCGGUAGUCC
rnacentral:rRNA from 1 species